rnacentral:rRNA from 1 species
UACGUAGGGUGCGAGCGUUAAUCGGAAUUACUGGGCGUAAAGCGUGCGCAGGCGGUGAUGUAAGACAGUUGUGAAAUCCCCGGGCUCAACCUGGGAACUGCAUCUGUGACUGCAUCGCUGGAGUGCGGCAGAGGGGGAUGGAAUUCCGCGUGUAGCAGUGAAAUGCGUAGAUAUGCGGAGGAACACCGAUGGCGAAGGCAAUCCCCUGAGCCUGCACUGACGCUCAUGCACGAAAGCGUGGGGAGCAAACAGG